rnacentral:rRNA from 1 species
CCCUAACCGUGCAAAGGUAGCAUAAUCAUUUGCCUUUUAAUUGGAGGCUUGUAUGAAUGGUUUGACGAGGGCUAAGCUGUCUCUUUUAAAAUAUUUAGAAAUUAACUUUUAGGUGAAGAGGCCUAAAUUUGGCUGAGGGACAAGAAGACCCUGUUGAGCUUUAGUUUUAUGCUAAAUGGAUUAUUAUGAUAUUUGUAAUAAGCGUGGACCUAGGUGUAAUGGGAUUUUAGUAUGAAUCUUUAGUUGGGGCGACUGAGGAACAGCUAGAGCUUCCUUUGGUUUAGAGGGGCAAGUAGUGUGCCGGAAAAUGGUGUAUUCUUGCAGGUUGUUUUGAUCCAGUAGAAUACUGAUUAAAGGAAAAAGUUACCACAGGGAUAACAGCGUAAUCUUUCUGGAGAGAUCUUAUCGAAAGGAGGGUUUGCGACCUCGAUGUUGGACUAA